UGUGACAUACCACUUGUUGCCUCGGCGGAUCAGCCCGCUCCCGGUAAAACGGGACGGCCCGCCAGAGGACCCCUAAACUCUGUUUCUAUAUGUAACUUCUGAGUAAAACCAUAAAUAAAUCAAAACUUUCAACAACGGAUCUCUUGGUUCUGGCAUCGAUGAAGAACGCAGCAAAAUGCGAUAAGUAAUGUGAAUUGCAGAAUUCAGUGAAUCAUCGAAUCUUUGAACGCACAUUGCGCCCGCCAGUAUUCUGGCGGGCAUGCCUGUUCGAGCGUCAUUUCAACCCUCAAGCACAGCUUGGUGUUGGGACUCGCGUUAAUUCGCGUUCCUCAAAUGAUUGGCGGUCACGUCGAGCUUCCAUAGCGUAGUAGUAAAACCCUCGUUACUGGUAAUCGUCGCGGCCACGCCGUUAAACCCCAACUUCUGAAUGUUGACCUCGGAUCAGGUAGGAAUACCCGCUGAACUUAAGCAUAUCAAUA
rnacentral:rRNA from 1 species